CCUACGGGAGGCAGCAGUGAGGAAUAUUGGUCAAUGGCCGGAAGGCUGAACCAGCCAAGCCGCGUGAAGGACGAAGGUGCCAAGCAUUGUAAACUUCUUUUGUCAAGGGACAAAAUCAGGCUCGAGAGCCUGACCGUGGGUACUUGAAGAAAAAGCAUCGGCUAACUCCGUGCCAGCAGCCGCGGUAAUACGGAGGAUGCGAGCGUUAUCCGGAUUUAUUGGGUUUAAGGGGUGCGUAGGCGGACUGUUAAGUCAGCGGUAAAAGCGCGGGGCUCAACCCCGGAGUGCCGUUGAAACUGGGUGUCUUGAGAUGUCGAGAGGUAUGCGGAAUGCGCAGUGUAGCGGUGAAAUGCUUAGAUAUUGCGCAGAACUCCGAUUGCGAAGGCAGCAUACCGGCGGCGAUCUGACGCUGAGGCACGAAAGCGUGGGUAUCGAACAGGAUUAGAUACCCCGGUAGUC
rnacentral:rRNA from 1 species